UACGUAGGGCGCAAGCGUUGUCCGGAAUUAUUGGGCGUAAAGAGCUCGUAGGCGGCUUGUCACGUCGGGUGUGAAAGCCCGGGGCUUAACCCCGGGUCUGCAUUCGAUACGGGCUAGCUAGAGUGUGGUAGGGGAGAUCGGAAUUCCUGGUGUAGCGGUGAAAUGCGCAGAUAUCAGGAGGAAUACCGGUGGCGAAAGCGACUCUCUGGACGGUUACUGACGCUGAGGCACGAAAGCGUGGGGAGCAAACAGG
rnacentral:rRNA from 1 species